rnacentral:rRNA from 1 species
UCCUACGGGAGGCAGCAGUGAGGAAUAUUGGACAAUGGGCGCAAGCCUGAUCCAGCCAUGCCGCGUGCAGGAUGACGGUCCUAUGGAUUGUAAACUGCUUUUAUACGAGAAGAAACAACUCUACGUGUAGAGUCUUGACGGUAUCGUAAGAAUAAGGAUCGGCUAACUCCGUGCCAGCAGCCGCGGUAAUACGGAGGAUCCAAGCGUUAUCCGGAAUCAUUGGGUUUAAAGGGUCCGUAGGCGGUCAGAUAAGUCAGUGGUGAAAGCCCAUCGCUCAACGGUGGAACGGCCAUUGAUACUGUCUGACUUGAAUUAUUAGGAAGUAACUAGAAUAUGUAGUGUAGCGGUGAAAUGCUUAGAGAUUACAUGGAAUACCAAUUGCGAAGGCAGGUUACUACUAAUAUAUUGACGCUGAUGGACGAAAGCGUGGGUAGCGAACAGGAUUAGAUACCCUGGUAGUCCACGCCGUAAACGAUGGAUACUAGCUGUUGGGAGCAAUCUCAGUGGCUAAGCGAAAGUGAUAAGUAUCCCACCUGGGGAGUACGUUCGCAAGAAUGAAACUCAAAGGAAUUGACGGGGGCCCGCACAAGCGGUGGAGCAUGUGGUUUAAUUCGAUGAUACGCGAGGAACCUUACCAAGGCUUAAAUGUAGAUUGACCGGUUUGGAAACAGACUUUUCGCAAGACAAUUUACAAGGUGCUGCAUGGUUGUCGUCAGCUCGUGCCGUGAGGUGUCAGGUUAAGUCCUAUAACGAGCGCAACCCCUGUUGUUAGUUGCCAGUGAGUUCACACCGGAAACAGCUAUGACCUCGCAUAAUAUUACUAACGAAUCAUUAGCACAGGCCUUAAUGCUGGUGGUGGUGGCAAUCUUAAUUAGCCAUAAAGAAAAACUGGCGCUGGAGAAAGAUAUUCUCUGGAGCGUCGGGCGAGCGAUAAUUCAGUUG